CCGGUGUCGUGCCAAGGUACUUACCCCUGAAAGGAAGUGUAUCCCCGGUCGCGGGAGCGCGCUCGCAUUCAGCAGGAGAUGACCUGACUGACAUAUGUCACUUCUGUGGAUCAGAAGGACCCAAGGCAGAUUUCUGUUGGAUUCAGUGUGACAUUUGUUUGCGGUGGUUCCACCAUAUGUGUGUUCAAAGCCCACCAACGGAGGAGGCCUUCCUGUGUACUGCUUGUACUCCUUAAUUUUGUGUACAUUAUUGUUCCGGAGGAAUUUAUUAAUUAAAUCUUGUUGUAUUACAUUACACCUUCCAAGUUUGUGUCUUAUCAUCUUAAAAUUAUUAAAAACCAACAGACUGAUGCGGGACAUUAUCUCAAUAUGCGACGUGCGGUACAGCGCAAAGCGGGACGGGUGCUCACCCUAGUGAAAAUACACUUAACUUUUGGAAAGAAGACACUUCUUGACAGCUUUAUUGUAAUUUCCGCAUAGUAUAGUCCAUAUACACACAAGGGAACGAAACUUCGUUUCACUUGGACCACAGUGCCGCAAAGAAGAAUUAGAAUCAGAAAAAGAUGUGAAGGAAUGAGGAAGGAAAGUACAGACGUAG